AUAUCUCUCCGUACGGGAAGGAUGAGAAGCUUCGACCAGGGUUCGAUUCGAGCGCAGCGAGAAAGCGUUGCCGCAGGCAACGACCCGAAGGGCGAAGCGCGCAGCGCUGAGUCAUCCUUCCCCCACCAUCA
rnacentral:sRNA from 1 species